rnacentral:rRNA from 1 species
AUUGAACGCUGGCGGCAGGCCUAACACAUGCAAGUCGAGCGGAUGAAGGGAGCUUGCUCCUAGAUUCAGCGGCGGACGGGUGAGUAAUGCCUAGGAAUCUGCCUGGUAGUGGGGGAUAACGUCCGGAAACGGGCGCUAAUACCGCAUACGUCCUGCGGGAGAAAGUGGGGGAUCUUCGGACCUCACGCUAUCAGAUGAGCCUAGGUCGGAUUAGCUAGUUGGUGGGGUAAAUGCCUACCAAGGCGACGAUCCGUAACUGGUCUGAGAGGAUGAUCAGUCACACUGGAACUGAGACACGGUCCAGACUCCUACGGGAGGCAGCAGUGGGGAAUAUUGGACAAUGGGCGAAAGCCUGAUCCAGCCAUGCCGCGUGUGUGAAGAAGGUCUUCGGAUUGUAAAGCACUUUAAGUUGGGAGGAAGGGCAGUAAGUUAAUACCUUGCUGUUUUGACGUUACCAACAGAAUAAGCACCGGCUAACUUCGUG